rnacentral:rRNA from 1 species
UGGAUCCAGACUUUGAUUCUGGCUCAGGAUAAACGCUGGCGGCGCACAUAAGACAUGCAAGUCGAACGAAGAUCGUUACAAAAAGGAUUGAAGAUUUAUCGGAUUGAGAUUUUGUAACAAUGGUCUUAGUGGCGGACUGGUGAGUAACGCGUAAGGAACCUGCCUUUUAGAGGGGAAUAACAAUGAGAAAUCAUUGCUAAUACCGCAUAUGCCAUAGGUAUCACAUGAUACUAGUGGGAAAGGAGCAAUUCACUAAAAGAUGGCCUUGCGUCUGAUUAGAUAGUUGGUAAGGUAACGGCUUACCAAGUCGACGAUCAGUAGCCGGACUGAGAGGUUGAACGGCCACAUUGGGACUGAGAUACGGCCCAGACUCCUACGGGAGGCAGCAGUCGGGAAUAUUGCGCAAUGGAGGAAACUCUGACGCAGUGACGCCGCGUAUAGGAAGAAGUUUUUCGGAAUGUAAACUAUUGUCGUUAGGGAAGAGAAAGGACAGUACCUAAGGAGGAAGCUCCGGCUAACUACGUGCCAGCAGCCGCGGUAAUACGUAGGGAGCGAGCGUUAUCCGGAAUUAUUGGGUGUAAAGGGUGCGUAGACGGGAAAGCAAGUUAGUUGUGAAAUCCCUCGGCUUAACUGAGGAACUGCAACUAAAGCUAUUUUUCUUGAGUGCAGGAGAGGUAAGUGGAAUUCCUAGUGUAGCGGUGAAAUGCGUAGAUAUUAGGAGGAACACCAGUGGCGAAGGCGACUUACUGGACUGUAACUGACGUUGAGGCACGAAAGUGUGGGGAGCAAACAGGAUUAGAUACCCUGGUAGUCCACACCGUAAACGAUGGAUGCUAGGUGUAGGAGAUAUCAAGUCUUCUGUGCCGUCGCAAACGCAAUAAGUAUCCCACCUGGGGAGUACGGCCGCAAGGUUGCAACUCAAAUGAAUUGACGGA